AUGAACGCUGGCGGCGUGCCUCAUACCUGCCAGUCGAGCGAACGGACGAGAAGCUUGCUUUUCUGAUGUUAGCGGCGGACGGGUGAGUAACACGUGGAUAACCUACCUAUAAGACUGGGAUAACUUCGGGAAACCGGAGCUAAUACCGGAUAAUAUUUUGAACCGCAUGGUUCAUAAGUGAAAGACGGUCUUGCUGUCACUUAUAGAUGGAUCCGCGCUGCAUUAGCUAGUUGGUAAGGUAACGGCUUACCAAGGCAACGAUGCAUAGCCGACCUGAGAGGGUGAUCGGCCACACUGGAACUGAGACACGGUCCAGACUCCUACGGGAGGCAGCAGUAGGGAAUCUUCCGCAAUGGGCGAAAGCCUGACGGAGCAACGCCGCGUGAGUGAUGAAGGUCUUCGGAUCGUAAAACUCUGUUAUUAGGGAAGAACAUAUGUGUAAGUAACUGUGCACAUCUUGACGGUACCUAAUCAGAAAGCCACGGCUAACUACGUG
rnacentral:rRNA from 1 species